rnacentral:pre_miRNA from 1 species
CAACUACUCCCUCUGUACCAAAUUUCUUGUCUUAGAUUUGUCUAGAUACGGAUGUAUCUAAUACUAAAAUGUGACUUGAUACAUCCGUAUCUAGACAUAUCUAAGACAAGAAUUUAGGGAAGGAGGGAGUACUUU